rnacentral:rRNA from 1 species
UAACAAGGAUUCCCCUAGUAACGGCGAGUGAACCGGGAAGAGCUCAAAUUUGAAAUCUGGCGUGCUCAGUGCGUCCGAGUUGUAAUCUAUAGAGUCGUUUUCCGUGCCGGACUGUGUCCAAGUCCCUUGGAACAGGGUAUCAAAGAGGGUGAUAAUCCCGUACUUGACACAAUGACCGGUGCUCUGUGAUACGUCUUCUACGAGUCGAGUUGUUUGGGAAUGCAGCUCAAAAUGGGUGGUGAGUUCCAUCUAAAGCUAAAUAUUGGCGAGAGACCGAUAGCGAACAAGUACCGUGAGGGAAAGAUGAAAAGCACUUUGGAAAGAGAGUUAAACAGUACGUGAAAUUGUUAAAAGGGAAACGAUUGAAGUCAGUCGUGACUGAGAGGCUCAGCCGGUUCUGCCGGUGUAUUCCCCUCAGUCGGGUCAACAUCAGUUUUGUUCGGUGGAUAAGGGCAGUUGGAAGGUGGCACCCUCGGGUGUGUUAUAGCCAGCUGUCGCAUACAUCGGAUGAGACUGAGGAAUGCAGCUCGCCUUUAUGGCCGGGGUUCGCCCACGUUCGAGCUUAGGAUGUUGACAUAAUGGCUUUA